CUGGGCAUGGUGGCGCGUGCCUGUAAUCCCAGCUACUCAGGAGGCUGAGGCAGGAGAAUUGCCUGAACCCAGGAGGCGGAGGUUGCACUGGGCCAAGAUCACGUCGUGGCACUCCAGCCUGGGCAACAAAGCAAGACUCCAUCUCAAAAAAAA